rnacentral:lncRNA from 1 species
AGCCAACCCUUAUCCACCUCCUGCCCUCAAAUUUUGAAACACCGAAAGAUCCAUUUCCUACAACAUAACAGAGUUUAGGAAACUUAACCCCCCACACUUUGAAGGUAGCCCUGAUCCUACGGAUAGAGAAGCUCUUUUCUGUUCCAAAUUUGACUGAGGAACAUAAAGUUCCCCAUGAAGUCUUCAUGCUAAACGGCGAAGUAGAAAGUGGGUGGCAACUUAAAAAGGAAGUCCUGCCUACCCCUAUCACUUAGGAAGUUUUCAUGGAUGCAUUCUUUGAUAACUUCUUCCCUGCAUAUGUCUGAAAAAAGAAGGAGGAGGAAUUUCAGGACCUCUGCCAAAGGAGUCUAACGGCUGCCCAGUAUACAGCCUGUUUUGUUCAACUGUCUAAGUU